rnacentral:rRNA from 1 species
AUGGAGAGUUUGAUCCUGGCUCAGGAUGAACGCUAGCGGCAGGCCUAAUACAUGCAAGUCGAACGGUAACAGGACCAGCAAUGGUCGCUGACGAGUGGCGCACGGGUGCGUAACACGUAUGCAAUCUACCUUUAACUGGAGAAUAGCCCCGAGAAAUCGGGAUUAAUACUCCAUAAUAUUAUGAAGUGGCAUCACUUUAUAAUUAAAGCUCAGGCGGUUAAAGAUGAGCAUGCGCGAUAUUAGCUAGUUGGUGAGGUAACGGCUCACCAAGGCUACGAUAUCUAGGGGAUCUGAGAGGAUUUACCCCCACACUGGUACUGAGACACGGACCAGACUCCUACGGGAGGCAGCAGUAAGGAAUAUUGGACAAUGGGCGCAAGCCUGAUCCAGCCAUGCCGCGUGAGUGAUGAAGGCCCUAGGGUUGUAAAGCUCUUUUGUGCGGGAAGAUAAUGACGGUACCGCAAGAAUAAGCCCCGGCUAACUUCGUGCCAGCAGCCGCGGUAAUACGAAGGGGGCUAGCGUUGCUCGGAAUCACUGGGCGUAAAGGGCGCGUAGGCGGCCGAUUAAGUCGGGGGUGAAAGCCUGUGGCUCAAUCACAGAAUUGCCUUCGAUACUGGUUGGCUUGAGACCGGAAGAGGACAGCGGAACUGCGAGUGUAGAGGUGAAAUUCGUAGAUAU